AAAAUUGUCCCAAAAUUGCCAGAGUUCGAUAUACUACACUCCAGUUGCCAAAGGACAAAGGUAGAAUGGCACUUCCAAAUUUUAGGAUAUAUUUCUAUGCAGCCCAACUUCG